rnacentral:rRNA from 1 species
UACGAAGGGGGCUAGCGUUGUUCGGAAUUACUGGGCGUAAAGCGUGCGCAGGCGGCUUCUCAAGUCAGGGGUGAAAGCCCAGAGCUCAACUCUGGAAUUGCCUUUGAGACUGAGUGGCUUGAGUACGGGAGAGGUGAGUGGAAUUCCCAGUGUAGAGGUGAAAUUCGUAGAUAUUGGGAGGAACACCAGUGGCGAAGGCGGCUCACUGGACCGGUACUGACGCUGAGGCGCGAAAGCGUGGGGAGCAAACGGGG